GUUUUUGUAGUGUAAAUUAACACCUGGGGCUUUCAGACCCAUAUUGCUUAGAGGCCAAAACU
rnacentral:tRNA from 1 species